rnacentral:rRNA from 1 species
UUAAGUUAUUAAGGGCGCACGGUGGAUGCCUUGGCACUAGAAGCCGAUGAAGGACGUUACUAACGACGAUAUGCUUUGGGGAGCUGUAAGUAAGCUUUGAUCCAGAGAUUUCCGAAUGGGGAAACCCAGCAUGAGUUAUGUCAUGUUAUCGAUAUGUGAAUACAUAGCAUAUCAGAAGGCACACCCGGAGAACUGAAACAUCUUAGUACCCGGAGGAAGAGAAAGAAAAUUCGAUUCCCUUAGUAGCGGCGAGCGAAACGGGAAGAGCCCAAACCAACAAGCUUGCUUGUUGGGGUUGUAGGACACUCUAACGGAGUUACAAAGGACGACAUUAGACGAAUCAUCUGGAAAGAUGAAUCAAAGAAGGUAAUAAUCCUGUAGUCGAAAAUGUUGUCUCUCUUGAGUGGAUCCUGAGUACGACGGAGCACGUGAAAUUCCGUCGGAAUCUGGGAGGACCAUCUCCUAAGGCUAAAUACUCUCUAGUGACCGAUAGUGAACCAGUACCGUGAGGGAAAGGUGAAAAGCACCCCGGAAGGGGAGUGAAAUAGAACCUGAAACCGUGUGCUUACAAGUAGUCAGAGCCCGUUAAUGGGUGAUGGCGUGCCUUUUGUAGAAUGAACCGGCGAGUUACGAUUUGAUGCAAGGUUAAGCAGUAAAUGUGGAGCCGUAGCGAAAGCGAGUCUGAAUAGGGCGUUUAGUAUUUGGUCGUAGACCCGAAACCAGGUGAUCUACCCUUGGUCAGGUUGAAGUUCAGGUAACACUGAAUGGAGGACCGAACCGACUUACGUUGAAAAGUGAGCGGAUGAACUGAGGGUAGCGGAGAAAUUCCAAUCGAACCUGGAGAUAGCUGGUUCUCUCCGAAAUAGCUUUAGGGCUAGCCUCAAGUGAUGAUUAUUGGAGGUAGAGCACUGUUUGGACGAGGGGCCCCUCUCGGGUUACCGAAUUCAGACAAACUCCGAAUGCCAAUUAAUUUAACUUGGGAGUCAGAACAUGGGUGAUAAGGUCCGUGUUCGAAAGGGAAACAGCCCAGACCACCAGCUAAGGUCCCAAAAUAUAUGUUAAGUGGAAAAGGAUGUGGCGUUGCCCAGACAACUAGGAUGUUGGCUUAGAAGCAGCCAUCAUUUAAAGAGUGCGUAAUAGCUCACUAGUCGAGUGACACUGCGCCGAAAAUGUACCGGGGCUAAACAUAUUACCGAAGCUGUGGAUUGUCCUUUGGACAAUGGUAGGAGAGCGUUCUAAGGGCGUUGAAGCAUGAUCGUAAGGACAUGUGGAGCGCUUAGAAGUGAGAAUGCCGGUGUGAGUAGCGAAAGACGGGUGAGAAUCCCGUCCACCGAUUGACUAAGGUUUCCAGAGGAAGGCUCGUCCGCUCUGGGUUAGUCGGGUCCUAAGCUGAGGCCGACAGGCGUAGGCGAUGGAUAACAGGUUGAUAUUCCUGUACCACCUAUAAUCGUUUUAAUCGAUGGGGGGACGCAGUAGGAUAGGCGAAGCGUGCGAUUGGAUUGCACGUCUAAGCAGUAAGGCUGAGUAUUAGGCAAAUCCGGUACUCGUUAAGGCUGAGCUGUGAUGGGGAGAAGACAUUGAGUCUUCGAGUCGUUGAUUUCACACUGCCGAGAAAAGCCUCUAGAUAGAAAAUAGGUGCCCGUACCGCAAACCGACACAGGUAGUCAAGAUGAGAAUUCUAAGGUGAGCGAGCGAACUCUCGUUAAGGAACUCGGCAAAAUGACCCCGUAACUUCGGGAGAAGGGGUGCUCUUUAGGGUUAACGCCCAGAAGAGCCGCAGUGAAUAGGCCCAAGCGACUGUUUAUCAAAAACACAGGUCUCUGCUAAACCGUAAGGUGAUGUAUAGGGGCUGACGCCUGCCCGGUGCUGGAAGGUUAAGAGGAGUGGUUAGCUUCUGCGAAGCUACGAAUCGAAGCCCCAGUAAACGGCGGCCGUAACUAUAACGGUCCUAAGGUAGCGAAAUUCCUUGUCGGGUAAGUUCCGACCCGCACGAAAGGCGUAACGAUUUGGGCACUGUCUCAACGAGAGACUCGGUGAAAUCAUAGUACCUGUGAAGAUGCAGGUUACCCGCGACAGGACGGAAAGACCCCGUGGAGCUUUACUGUAGCCUGAUAUUGAAAUUCGGCACAGCUUGUACAGGAUAGGUAGGAGCCUUUGAAACGUGAGCGCUAGCUUACGUGGAGGCGCUGGUGGGAUACUACCCUAGCUGUGUUGGCUUUCUAACCCGCACCACUUAUCGUGGUGGGAGACAGUGUCACGGGGCAGUUUGACUGGGGCGGUCGCCUCCUAAAAGGUAACGGAGGCGCUCAAAGGUUCCCUCAGAAUGGUUGGAAAUCAUUCAUAGAGUGUAAAGGCAUAAGGGAGCUUGACUGCGAGACCUACAAGUCGAGCAGGGUCGAAAGACGGACUUAGUGAUCCGGUGGUUCCGCAUGGAAGGGCCAUCGCUCAACGGAUAAAAGCUACCCCGGGGAUAACAGGCUUAUCUCCCCCAAGAGUUCACAUCGACGGGGAGGUUUGGCACCUCGAUGUCGGCUCAUCGCAUCCUGGGGCUGUAGUCGGUCCCAAGGGUUGGGCUGUUCGCCCAUUAAAGCGGUACGCGAGCUGGGUUCAGAACGUCGUGAGACAGUUCGGUCCCUAUCCGUCGUGGGCGUAGGAAAUUUGAGAGGAGCUGUCCUUAGUACGAGAGGACCGGGAUGGACAUACCUCUGGUGUACCAGUUGUCGUGCCAACGGCAUAGCUGGGUAGCUAUGUGUGGACGGGAUAAGUGCUGAAAGCAUCUAAGCAUGAAGCCCCCCUCAAGAUGAGAUUUCCCAACUUCGGUUAUAAGAUCCCUCAAAGAUGAUGAGGUUAAUAGGUUCGAGGUGGAAGCAUGGUGACAUGUGGAGCUGACGAAUACUAAUCGAUCGAAGACUUAAUCAA